UACGUAGGGGGCAAGCGUUGUCCGGAUUUAUUGGGCGUAAAGAGCGUGUAGGCGGUCUGAAAGGUCAGCUGUGAAAACUCGAGGCUCAACCUCGAGACGUCGGUUGAAACCAUCUGGCUAGAGUCCGGAAGAGGAGUGUGGAAUUCCCGGUGUAGCGGUGAAAUGCGCAGAUAUCAGGAGGAACACCAAUGGCGAAGGCAGCUCGCUGGGACGUGACUGACGCUGAGACGCGAAAGCGUGGGGAGCAAACAGG
rnacentral:rRNA from 1 species